rnacentral:lncRNA from 1 species
CGGAAGGUUGUAAAUUUUUUUGAUGGGAACAAUAGGAUAAUGUUUCAUUUGGGGCAAUGAUCGACCUCUUAGAUUUAGCUUUUUGUAAAUGCUAAGUCUUCAUUCGUUUUGUAGUGGAAGAAGAAGCGAAUGAGGAGGUUGAAAAGGAAGCGCAGAAAGAUGAGACAAAGAUCCAAGUAGUGGAGGAUAGUAGUGGAUGGCGAAUUAGCUUCUUUUGCACGAACCAGUUUCUUCUUCAUUGUCUGCCCAACGAUCAAGAAGAGUGGAAAGAAGUUCUGUAGAUGGUGCCGUCUUGUUGUCUAUUCUACUCUCUCGAUUUUAUUCGGCUUUUUGUGGAAGUUUAGGUUGACUUGUGCGUUUUUACCGUCUACUUUCAUGUUUCCUAAUUAAAAGACCAUAUGACAUUUGUAUUAAAUCUGAGUAGGAAUGGAUGCAUGGUGUUUUCAGAUAUCAUUUGUGGCUUCUUUCAUUCCUUUCCUAUUUAUGGCCAGUGAUUAUGUACUACUUUUUGCUUCAUUCUUCGCUUCUUCAGAUGGUGAUAUUUUUUAUC